GACGAACGCUGGCGGCGUGCUUAACACAUGCAAGUCGAACGGAAAGGCCCUGCUUUUGUGGGGUGCUCGAGUGGCGAACGGGUGAGUAACACGUGAGUAACCUGCCCUUGACUUUGGGAUAACUUCAGGAAACUGGGGCUAAUACCGGAUAGGAGCUCCUGCUUCAUGGUGGGGGUUGGAAAGUUUCGGCGGUUGGGGAUGUACUCGCGGCUUAUCAGCUUGUUGGUGGGGUAGUGGCUUACCAAGGCUUUGACGGGUAGCCGGCCUGAGAGGGUGACCGGCCACAUUGGGACUGAGAUACGGCCCAGAAUGCAACGGGAGGCAGCAGUGGGGAAUAUUGCACAAUGGGCGGAAGCCUGAUGCAGCAACGCCGCGUGCGGGAUGACGGCCUUCGGGUUGUAAACCGCUUUCGCCUGUGACGAAGCGUGAGUGACGGUAAUGGGUAAAGAAGCACCGGCUAACUACGUG
rnacentral:rRNA from 1 species